CCUAUAUCCACAAUUAUGAGGGUGGUCCUGAAAGAUUCAAACCCUGUGGAGUUACUACAUCAUAGGUGCUCUUGUAUUGCGGGAGCAGCACUUUGCAACCACUGCGUUGCAUUGUUGUUUCAGUCGGCGCAUUACAGUGAGCUGAAUUUGUCUGCAGUUCCCCCUGUCUUAAGCUGCACUGAGGGAGAACAACAAUGGCACAAGCCUAGAACUUUGGGUGUAAAGCCAGGCCCAGUGGAUAGGAUGGUUGUCCUCUCUGCUAAACCCAAGACUCAAACAAAAGAGGGAGUCAAGAGCACACUGUACAAAGGCCUCAGUGGGGAUUUACCUGAUCUCUCUGUGCUUCAGGUAAGUGGGG